rnacentral:rRNA from 1 species
UCUAAGCAGAGCCCUUGAAUGGUAAAGCCGCGAAUGGCUCAUUACAACAGCCACAGUUUAUUGGGUCAUUUACUUGGAUAACUGAGCUAAUUGUUGAGCUAAUACACGCACCAAAGCUUCGACCUCACGGGAGGAGCGCAUUUAUUAGAACAAAACCAAUCGGACUUCGGUCCGUCCAUUGGUGAAUCUAAAUAACUUAGCCGAUCGCAUGGUCUCGCACCGGCGACUCACCUUUCAAAUGUCUGCCUUAUCACCUUUCGAUGGUAGUUUAUACGCCUACCAUGGGUUUUACGGGUAACGGAGAAUAAGGGUUCGACUCCGGAGAGGGAGCCUGAGAAACGGCUACCACAUCCAAGGAAGGCAGCAGGCACGCAAAUUACCCACUCCCGGCACGGGGAGGUAGUGACGAAAAAUAACGAGGCGGUUCUCUAUGAGGCCCGCCAUCGGAAUGGGUACAAUCUAAAUCC